GCACUGCUGACGAGUCCCAAACAGAACGAAACAUCUUUCCAGUGC
rnacentral:hammerhead_ribozyme from 1 species